AUUGAACGCUGGCGGCAGGCUUAACACAUGCAAGUCGGGCGGGGGAAGGUAGCUUGCUACCGGACCUAGCGGCGGACGGGUGAGUAAUGCUUAGGAAUCUGCCUAUUAGUGGGGGACAACAUCUCGAAAGGGAUGCUAAUACCGCAUACGUCCUACGGGCGAAAGCAGGGGAUCUUCGGACCUUGCGCUAAUAGAUGAGCCUAAGUCGGAUUAGCUAGUUGGUGGGGUAAAGGCCUACCAAGGCGACGAUCUGUAGCGGGUCUGAGAGGAUGAUCCGCCACACUGGGACUGAGACACGGCCCAGACCCCUACGGGAGGCAGCAGUGGGGAAUAUUGGACAAUGGGGGGAACCCUGAUCCAGCCAUGCCGCGUGUGUGAAGAAGGCCUUAUGGUUGUAAAGCACUUUAAGCGAGGAGGAGGCUACUCUAGUUAAUACCUAGGGAUAGUGGACGUUACUCGCAGAAUAAGCACCGGCUAACUCUGUGCCAGCAGCCGCAGUAA
rnacentral:rRNA from 1 species